rnacentral:lncRNA from 1 species
ACCUGAUGGAAUACUGAAACAAUUGCUGCCUGCUGUCCACACACCACAUAAAAUAUGUGGAUUUCCUAAAUUCUGCAAAAAAGAAUUGGAAGCUGAUCAAGCAAUACUGAAACUCCCUCUUCUCCAGAAGAGACAUCCUUGCCUCCAUGAAGAGGAAUGUGUGGAUGGACAUAUAUUUAAGGAAGGCACUAAACCAGAAACUACUACAUUACACCCUCUUAGAAGACUUCUAAGAUUGUUGUCAUACCUACCACAGACAUUCAGAUGAUGUGUAUUCUUGAUUGUGAUUUCAUGUUUGGAGCUGAUGAAGGAACCCAGGAGAUGAACAUAUGCCUGAGAAGAAGAACUGGUGUGGAAUUGUCAGCCAGGUUUUUGAUGAGUGCUCAGACUGCUUCCUGAUCCGGCACCACAUUUACUACAGUGGACAGAUGCUCUAGUCUCCGAUGAGGAGUUGCUAGCUGUUAGGAAGAACCUGGAAUGGGCUCCACUCAUGAGGUUUGAAGUCUCCAGAGCAGCAAGGAGAGUGGGGAGUAGAACUCAUCAUCUUUAGGUCACUCAUCAUCG